CGCAUUCGGUUCUGCACUGGUUCCUGCCACAUGGCAGGUGAAAAGGGAAUGCAACACGGGCCCCAAAGGCCCCAAGCGCAGCCGCCCCCGCGACCGUGACCGGAGAGGCCCCCCUCGCCACUGGCAAGAUGCCGGGAAGGCCGGGACGCCGCCCAAGCCACCGCUUGGACAUCCGCAAGCCGGGAGACCUGCCAGUGACGACGAUACGUG
rnacentral:ncRNA from 2 species